rnacentral:lncRNA from 1 species
GUGGCAGUAAAUUCAUCACUUUUUAAAGUAAUUCUCCUUGGAGAUGGUGAAUUGGGAGGUGAAGUUGGGAGAAAUUCACUUAUAAAUAGAUUUUUAACUAAUAAGUUUGAUAUAGAGCUAUUUAAGACAAUAGAUGUGAAAUUUUUAAAUAAGAUUUGGAAGUGGAUAAACAUUUUGGUGCCACGCAGAUUUGGGACAUGUCAGGUCAGGAGUGAUUCUAAAGCCUGAGGACAUCAUUUUACAGAGAUUCUGUCUGCCGCCUGCUUACUUUUGUUAUCGAUGAUUCACAAAGCUUCCAGAACUUUAGUAACUGGAAGAAAGAAUUCAUAUAUUAUACAAAUGUGGAAGAACAAGAGAGCUUUCCUUCUGUGGUUCUGAAUAACAAGACUGACAUAAACAAACAGCAGGUGUCUGCAAAAUAAACCCAAGCUUGUGCAUGGAUGACGGCUAUUAUUUUUACUUUGAAACAAGUGCAAAAGGUGCCACAAGUGCAGCAGCAGCCUUUGAGGAGGCGGUUUGAAGAGUUCCUGUGAACAAGGUUUGUUGGAUCAGUUGACACACACAGACACAGUCAAUCUUCAUUGAAAGCCCAGGACUAGCUCAUCUUGC